rnacentral:rRNA from 1 species
AACUUUGAGCGGUGGAUCACUCGGCUCGUGCGUCGAUGAAGACCCAAC